rnacentral:rRNA from 1 species
UACAGAGGUCCCAAGCGUUGUUCGGAUUUACUGGGCGUAAAGGGUGCGUAGGUGGUGAGGUAAGUCUGAUGUGAAAUCUCCGAGCUUAACUCGGAAAUGGCAUUGGAAACUACCUUGCUAGAGGGUUGGAGGGGGGACUGGAAUACUUGGUGUAGCAGUGAAAUGCGUAGAUAUCAAGUGGAACACCAGUGGCGAAGGCGAGUCCCUGGACAACUCCUGACACUGAGGCACGAAAGCUAGGGGAGCAAACAGG